rnacentral:rRNA from 1 species
UACGUAGGGCGCAAGCGUUGUCCGGAAUUAUUGGGCGUAAAGAGCUCGUAGGCGGUUUGUCGCGUCUGCUGUGAAAACUCGGGGCUUAACUCCGGGCCUGCAGUGGGUACGGGCAGACUAGAGGUAGGCAGGGGAGAGCGGAACUCCUGGUGUAGCGGUGGAAUGCGCAGAUAUCAGGAAGAACACCGGUGGCGAAGGCGGCUCUCUGGGCCUUACCUGACGCUGAGGAGCGAAAGCGUGGGUAGCGAACAGG